UGAUGGAUUGACUGAGGAGUUAGUAGAAACUCUAAAGUUAAACAUGCUACGUUCAGGGCAAUACCAGGAUGGGUGACCUCCUGGGAAGUCUGACCAAUCCAUCAA
rfam:Cephalotus follicularis DNA, scaffold: scaffold5586, isolate: St1.